UCCGGUUUGUCACCGGCAGUCUGAAGUGAGUCCCCAACUUAAUGCUGGCAACACUUCACGGGGGUUGCGCUCGUUGCGGGACUUAACCCAACAUCUCACGACACGAGCUGACGACAGCCAUGCAGCACCUGUCUUAAGGCUCCCGAAGGCACUCCCCUAUUUCUAGGGGAUUCCUUAGAUGUCAAGCCCAGGUAAGGUUCUUCGCGUUGCGUCGAAUUAAACCACAUGCUCCACCGCUUGUGCGGGCCCCCGUCAAUUUCUUUGAGUUUUAAUCUUGCGACCGUACUCCCCAGGCGGAUCACUUAACGCGUUAGCUACGGCACGGAAGGGGUCAAUUCCUCCCACACCUAGUGAUCAUCGUUUACCGCGUGGACUAC
rnacentral:misc_RNA from 1 species